rnacentral:rRNA from 1 species
GACGAACGCUGGCGGCGUGCUUAACACAUGCAAGUCGAACGGAAAGGCCCUGCUUGCGGGGUACUCGAGUGGCGAACGGGUGAGUAACACGUGGGUGAUCUGCCCUGCACUUCGGGAGAAGCCUGGGAAACAGGGUCGAAUACAGGAUAGGAGACAUUUUUAGUGUGAUGGUUGGAUAGUGAUUUGGGGGUAGGAUGAGUUGCCCGGCUAACUGCUUGGUGGUGGGGUGAUGGCCUACCAAGGCGGCGUCGGGUGGCAGGCCUGUGAGGGUGGACGGCCAGCUGGGGUCCUAGAGACGGCCCAGGCUCCUAAGGGUGGGAGCAGGGGGGAAUACUGAAGAAUGGGCGCAAGCCUGGUGCUGCGACGCUGCGGGGCGGAAGACGGCCUUCGGGUUGUAAACCCCUUUCGCUAGGGACGAAGCUUUUUGUGACGGUACCUAGUUAAGAAGCACCGGCUAACUACGUG